CGGCAUGUAGCUCAGUGGUAGAGCAAUCAGCAAUUAGCUGAUGUGUCGUGGGUUCGAUUCCCAAUCUUGCCGA
rnacentral:tRNA from 1 species